CGCGCUGGUUCCUGCCAAAUGCAGUUAGCUUUGCUACGCUUCCCUAAGUGGGUUCCCCCAGGGGCCCGGCAGUGUGCUAGGAGCACCCUGCUUCGUAAGUAAGGUAGACAGCCCGUGAUAAAUGCCAAAGUAGAAGCUCCUUCGAAAACCUAAGGAGCCGAUUGGGCGGGACUAACCCUAAGGGAGGGCAGGGGAAGCGACCGUCACCUCCGGGCGCCGGGGACUGGGAACGCCGGGUCGGAGCUGGGCAGGCGGAGAAAUGUAAGCUCCAUGAGGUCAUGGAUUGUGUAUUUUGUUCACUGCUGUAUUCCCUGAGCCUGGAACAGUGCCUGACACAUAGUAGAUGCGCAGUAAAUAUUUGGUGAAUGAAUGAACAAAUGCUAAUACAUCAAAGAGACAACAUCAAAGAACAGACUCCACAGGGCAGUUUACAUCUUCAUUGUUUGGCCCGACCCUUCUUGUUUGAGGGUGGAUUUUCAAAAUUACUGCUGAAGGCAAUUGGGAGCCUUGAAAGUUUUUGCAGGAGACGGGGUCUCACCAUAUUGUCCAGGCUGGUCUCAAACUCCUGACUUCAAGCGAUCUUCUCGCCUCGGCCUCCCAAAGUGCUGGGAUUACAGGCAUAAGCCACUGUGCCUGGCCAAUUAUGAUCUAGUUUGAGUCAUUAAAAAGAAGUCAUCAGUUUGAAAAGAGCUCCAAUCAGAGCAAAAUGAAUUCUGCUAAAAUUGAAGGAACAACAAACGUCAAAUUUAGGGUGAAGUUAGGGUGGAAGAGUGGUAAAAUCACUGAUGCUUUACCAAAAGUUUAUGGGGACAAUGCACCUAAAUAAAUCAGCAGUUUAUAAAUAGUUAACUUGUAAGAAAGGACAAGACGAUGCUGAAGAUGAAGGCUGCAGCAGCAGGUCAUCCACAUCAAUUUGUGAGGAAAAAUUAAUCUUCUUUGUGCCCUAAUUUGGAAGGACCAACGAUUAACAGCAGAAACAACAGCCAACACCAUAGACAUCACAAUUGGUUCAGCUUACAGAAUUCUGACUGAAAAAUUAAAAGUUGAGCAAACUUUCCACUUGAUGGGUGCCAAAACCAGAUCAGCUGCAAAGAACAGAGCUCUUUUUUUUUUUUUUUUUUUUUUUGAGACAGAGUCUUGCUGUCGCCCAGGCUGGAGUGCAGUGGCGCGAUCUCAGCUCACUGUAGGCUCCGUCCCCCGGGGUUCACGCCAUUCUCCUGCCUCAGCCUCCCGAGUAGCUGGGACUACAGGCGCCCACCACCUCGCCCGGCUAAUUUUU